rnacentral:tRNA from 1 species
GAGGUAAAUAUUGGUUUCCUUAAGGUUUUGAAGUCCUUAGGGGGGUGUUCGACUCAUCCUUAUCUCU